rnacentral:lncRNA from 1 species
GUGAGCCUGGAGCCCCUCACCAGGUGCCCUGGGCUGUGGGAUCUCACCCUGUCCGGCGGCGUCCCUGACACCGUGAGCCUGGAGCCCCUCACCAGGUGCCCUGAGCUGCGGGUUCUCACCCUGUCCGGCGGCGUCCCUGACGCCGUGCUGGACAGUCUCAGCGGCUGCCCCGGGCUGUGGAGACUUACACUGGGGGACCGCCAGCGGCCGGCAGAGACGGCAUUCACAGCAGCAGCGGUCAGCAGACUGGUGAAGUCGUGUCGGAAGCUGUGGAAGCUGUACCUUCACUGCACGGCAGACACCGGCCGGGCCGUGCUGACCGCCCUGAAGGAGACGGACCUGGGCCGGGACAGUGAUGGCCGGCCCCGUACCAUCUGGCUCCGUGUCCCCGUGGAGCUGUACCGUCAGCUGAAGAGUCAGGAAGGCGAUGGGGUUAGAGUGUCUCCGUGGUGCUGAUUGAUGCGCUGCACUACCGACCGUGCAGUGAUGAGCUGACUGCAGAGAGGCCGAGCCAGUCGGCCGGGGCCGCCAGCUGACUGCUGCCGUGUGUGCUGCACCAGCCGGCACUGAGAGCGGCGCCGGUCAGCCGGCACACG